rnacentral:rRNA from 1 species
CCUGCCCUUCAGAGGGGGACAACAGUUGGAAACGACUGCUAAUACCGCAUACGAUCUAAUCUCGGCAUCGAGGAUAGAUGAAAGGUGGCCUCUACAUGUAAGCUAUCACUGAAGGAGGGGAUUGCGUCUGAUUAGCUAGUUGGAGGGGUAACGGCCCACCAAGGCGACGAUCGGUAGCCGGACUGAGAGGUUGAACGGCCACAUUGGGACUGAGACACGGCCCAG